rfam:Myotis lucifugus cont2.53142, whole genome shotgun sequence.
GGCAGUUCUCAGGUGAUGCACCCCGGAAUUGGGCUCCCUCUCUGGUUCCGAGUGCGUCACCUGAGAACCACA